GAUGAACGCUGGCGGCGUGCCUAAUACAUGCAAGUCGAGCGAACAGAUGAGGAGCUUGCUCCUCUGACGUUAGCGGCGGACGGGUGAGUAACACGUGGAUAACCUGCCUAUAAGACUGGGAUAACUUCGGGAAACCGGAGCUAAUACCGGAUAAUAUAUUGAACCGCAUGGUUCAAUAGUGAAAGACGGUUUUGCUGUCACUUAUAGAUGGAUCCGCGCCGCAUUAGCUAGUUGGUAAGGUAACGGCUUACCAAGGCAACGAUGCGUAGCCGACCUGAGAGGGUGAUCGGCCACACUGGAACUGAGACACGGUCCAGACUCCUACGGGAGGCAGCAGUAGGGAAUCUUCCGCAAUGGGCGAAAGCCUGACGGAGCAACGCCGCGUGAGUGAUGAAGGUCUUCGGAUCGUAAAACUCUGUUAUUAGGGAAGAACAAAUGUGUAAGUAACUAUGCACGUCUUGACGGUACCUAAUCAGAAAGCCACGGCUAACUACGUG
rnacentral:rRNA from 1 species